rnacentral:rRNA from 1 species
CUUGAACUUUAUAAGAGGUCCAGCCUGCCCAGUGACUCUGUUCAACGGCCGCGGUAUCCUAACCGUGCGAAGGUAGCGUAAUCACUUGUUCUUUAAAUGCGGACUAGUAUGAAUGGCACUACGAGGGUUAUACUGUCUCCUCUUUCUAAUCAGUGAAACUAAUUUUCCCGUGAAGAAGCGGGGAUAUAAUUAUAAGACGAGAAGACCCUAUGGAGCUUUAAACAACCUAGCAAUUACUUCUAAAAUUAUAAAUUUCAGAAUACUCAUUUUUUAAGCAAUAUGUCUGCAAGUUUUUGGUUGGGGUGACCAUGGAGUAUAACACAACCUCCAUAUUGAAUGAAUUUUAUUCUAAGCUGAAAAUUACUAAUUGAAGCAUCAACACACUGACAUCUAUUGACCCAAUAUAUUUGAUCAACGAACCAAGUUAC